UAUACUGCUAGAUAUGUUUGAUAUUCUUGGUUGUAUAAUAAUAACGACCAGGAAUCAAACAUAUUAUUACAGUG
rnacentral:pre_miRNA from 12 species